rnacentral:lncRNA from 1 species
GGGAGGCCGGGAGGGGUCCCUGGGCGGGGAGUUGCUGCGCAUCUGUUGUGUGUGUGCGUCUGUCUGUCUGUUCAGGUCUGUUUUAGGCUGUGUCUGCCUGUCUCUCUGUCUGGGUCUCUUUCAGGCUGCGUCGGUCUGUCUGUCUGGGUCUGUUUCAGGCUGUGUCUGUCUGUCUGUCUGGGUCUGUUUCAGGCUGUGUCUGUCUGUCUGUCCGGGUCUGUUUCAGGCUGUGUCUGUCUGUCUGUCCGGGUCUGUUUCAGGCUGUGUCUGUCUGUCUGUCCGGGUCUGUUUCAGGCUGUAUGUGUGUCUGCUCUUUGCUUCUGCUCCUGGCUCUGUGUGUAUUUCCCGGGUCCUGUGG